AUCGAACGCUGGCGGCAUGCCUUACACAUGCAAGUCGAACGGUAACAGGUCUUCGGAUGCUGACGAGUGGCGAACGGGUGAGUAAUACAUCGGAAUGUGCCUAGUAGUGGGGGAUAACUACUCGAACGAGUGGCUAAUACCGCAUGAGAUCUCCUGAUGAAAGCAUGGGAUCGCAAAACCUUGUUCUUAUAAACCGGCGAAUGGCAUAUUACGUAGGUGGUGGGUUAGAAGCUUACCGAGCCGACGACCGGUAGCUAGUCUGAGAGGACGAUCAGCACACUGGGACUGAGAAACAGCCCAGACGCCUACGGGAGGCAGCAGUGGGGAAUUUUGGACAAUGGGCGAACGCCUGAUCCAGCAAUGCCGCGUGCAGGAUGAAGGCCUUCGGGUUGUAAACUGCUUUUGUACGGAACGAAAAGCCCCGGGUUAAUACCCUGGGGUCAUGACGGUACCGUAAGAAUAAGCACCGGCUAACUACGUGCCAGCCGCCGCCGUAA
rnacentral:rRNA from 1 species